UACAGAGGGGGCAAGCGUUGUUCGGAAUUACUGGGCGGAAAGGGCGCGUAGGCGGCCUGUUAAGUCGAACGUGAAAUCCCCGGGCUCAACCCGGGAACUGCGUCCGAUACUGGCAGGCUUGAAUUCGGGAGAGGGAUGUGGAAUUCCAGGUGUAGCGGUGAAAUGCGUAGAUAUCUGGAGGAACACCGGUGGCGAAGGCGGCAUCCUGGACCGAUAUUGACGCUGAUGCGCGAAAGCCAGGGGAGCAAACGGG
rnacentral:rRNA from 1 species